GGCUGUAUUUGCGCAUCAGCGUCAGCGUCCCACGCAGUGGCUACUAGCUAGGUUGGUAACACGUGCGUGUUCGGCUCUGUGGCAGUGGCACUUAACAGACACCAAGUUUGAGCGAACUUCACAUUGCUACUGGCUGCUAGCAGCUAAUAGCUAUUUUGCCUGUUUCAAGCUCCCCACGCCAUGAUUCAGGUUGUGAUGUUCCAUUAUGUGGAGGACACUUGCCUGGCUAGAGAAGUGGACAUGAACAGAGUGCCCUUGACUCCCACCAUUGUUGUAUGUGAUGUUUCUUCUCUAUUAAUCCGGAGAAGGGGACGAAAGUGGAACAAACAAAAACAAAAUGGCUCCAUGUGAAUCCAAGAGUCCUUACUUUGAUUCAGGACUUCUCAGACCAUGAAUGGCAAGCUAUUUAAAAAGUUGUUCCUUCAAGUGACUGCAACAGUGAACACCCAUAUGUUUCUCUAGAUGUUCUUCUAGAAGCAAUGCAGUUGCAUGUUAAUCUAAGCUUCUGUAACUUGGUUCAUGACCUUUUCAACCAUGAAUGGCGAGCUGUUUGAAAAGUUGUUCAAGUGACCGCGACAGUGAACACCCAUAUGUUUCUUUAGAUGUUCUUCUAGA